CAGUACCGUGAGGGAAAGGCGAAAAGAACCCCGGCGAGGGGAGUGAAAAAGAACCUGAAACCGUGUACGUACAAGCAGUGGGAGCCCCACCACUAAGCCAGUGGUGAACUCCACAUCCGCAUCCUUUGCUGAGGAUACGGUUAACGGAGCGAAAGCGACGUUCAACCGCAAAACAAGCAGAGGGGGCUUAGUGGUGGGGUGACUGCGUACCUUUUGUAUAAUGGGUCAGCGACUUAUAUUCUGUAGCAAGGUUAACCGAAUAGGGGAGCCGGAGGGAAACCGAGUCUUAAUUGGGCGUUAAGUUGCAGGGUAUAGACCCGAAACCCGGUGAUCUAGCCAUGGGCAGGUUGAAGGUUGGGUAACACUAACUGGAGGACCGAACCGACUAAUGUUGAAAAAUUAGCGGAUGACCUGUGGCUGGGGGUGAAAGGCCAAUCAAACCGGGAGAUAGCUGGUUCUCCCCGAAAGCUAUUUAGGUAGCGCCUCGUGAAUUCAUCUCCGGGGGUAGAGCACUGUUUCGGCUAGGGGGCCAUCCCGGCUUACCAACCCGAUGCAAACUGCGAAUACCGGAGAAUGUUAUCACGGGAGACACACGGCGGGUGCUAACGUCCGUCGUGAAGAGGGAAACAACCCAGACCGCCAGCUAAGGUCCCAAAGUCAUGGUUAAGUGGGAAACGAUGUGGGAAGGCCCAGACAGCCAGGAUGUUGGCUUAGAAGCAGCCAUCAUUUAAAGAAAGCGUAAUAGCUCACUGGUCGAGUCGGCCUGCGCGGAAGAUGUAACGGGGCUAAACCAUGCACCGAAGCUGCGGCAGCGAACGUAUCACCCAAGACAACUUUACGGAGUUGACGAUUGACGGAGCGAAGCGACGUCAAAGCGUUCAUUAAAGUCGAGUUGGCUUAGGGAUACGUUCGUUGGGUAGGGGAGCGUUCUGUAAGCCUGUGAAGGUGUGUCGUGAGGCAUGCUGGAGGUAUCAGAAGUGCGAAUGCUGACAUAAGUAACGAUAAAGCGGGUGAAAAGCCCGCUCGCCGGAAGACCAAGGGUUCCUGUCCAACGUUAAUCGGGGCAGGGUGAGUCGACCCCUAAGGCGAGGCCGAAAGGCGUAGUCGAUGGGAAACGGGUUAAUAUUCCCGUACUUGGUGUUACUGCGAAGGGGGGACGGAGAAGGCUAUGUUGGCCGGGCGACGGUUGUCCCGGUUUAAGCGUGUAGGUGUGUGUUCCAGGUAAAUCCGGUUCACUUUAACACUGAGGCGUGACGACGAGGCACUACGGUGCUGAAGCAACAAAUGCCCUGCUUCCAGGAAAA
rnacentral:rRNA from 1 species